CAUCCCAGCAAACAUUGGUCCGACCGCAACGUCGUGUCCCUGGCCAAAAAUAGUCGCGGUAUGACGGCACAAAUCGGUGAAAAUAUGUAACACAGAACAUUUCAUAAAAAUGCAUUCAGAUACAUUUGUACAUGUCUAUAGUUCUAUGAGGUUGCAUGUAUAAUUGUUACUUUGACUUUUACUACGCGUGCUUCAAUAUUUAUACCCUGUUGUGAAUCGGUUGUAAGAGGACGUCACUAGGUGACGUCUUUUACACGUGCAUUUAUAGUCCAUCAUGACCCUCUAUAAAAAAUCAUAAACCUUCUAUAAAGUCAUUGUGAAAUAUGCAAAUGCUGUGCUUACACCUUGGUUAAUACUGCAAUAAUUAAUUUAAGUGCAAAAAGUAGGUUUUUAAGAGGUUGUGAAUAGACGUCCACUGACGUCUUUUACACGUCUAGACUAGACUAGUAGGAAAAAAAAAAGGAUAAUCUUUAUGAAAUACACGAUUUGUAUACAAAGUAAAUAUAUUAACUUUAUCUUGUUUAAAUAAAUUAUAAUCACAAAGUGCCCAGUGUGAUUGCAAAGCCACACUGCAUUUUAGUCAUUAUUCCAACCUGUUUUAUUAUUGAAUGUAUGCAUAUAAAUGUAAAACAGAUACAUAUCCGGUCACCAUUUAGGUCUGAGUUGGAUGUAAUUUCAAAAACUGUGCUAUUAAUUUAAGAAAUAUAGUGAUAAAUCUGGGGAUAUUACAAAAUCCCGCGAUAGGACAGAUUAUCUCGCGAGAUAGGGGUGACGUCACGCGUUCUUCCGGAAGUUCACAUUCAAACACGAGGAGCGAUUACGAGGGAGUUUUGUCUAUAUAUCAUUCAAAAUCUACUGUUGGGUAAGUACAUUGUGUAUUAUUUGAUUAACGUGCUUAAGUUUUACUUGUUUGACACGAAGGCUCCGAAAUAAACGUUGCCAGAAUUGUCCACACUGAGUAUUGCAAUAAUUAGCUAGAAGGCUAAAAGCUAACGUACUUUGAACUUAUACAUGGUAUAAAGUAUGUUUAAGGAUACAGUCAAAGUAACUUAUUAAUGUAGCCUCUUGAAAGUCUCUUUCAGAAAGUAAAUUAUCUGAAAAAUAAAAGUUAUUUGGCAUUAAUGGAAUUACAAUGAUUUGAUUGCCUAAACAUUGCACAUGCAAAAUAUUAAAUACUGUUUUGCAUUAAAAGUUUAGCAGAAGUGUUUGUUUGAUUAACUUCCUUUGCUUUUGUUUUGUACAAAGGAAAAGCAGAACCUCAUCCAAAUAAAAAAUAAACAAGCUGUUAAAGGCACUGUGUCCUACACAGACCCUCCAAAAUAUAACCACCCAAAACCCAAGUCAGUUGAAGGUCAACACAAACCAAAUAAAGAUGUGCAUUCUACAAACAAUAAAAAAAGAUCAAGUUUUGUGUCCACCACACUUAGAUGAGGCGUGCCCCACCCCUGACUUUGUCUACCCUACAUUAAGUUGUAAGUUUUUGACUGCUUUUGCUUAAUACUACGAAAAAACAUGAUUCUUUCAAAAAUGACUUUUAUAUAUUUUGAUAUGAAACUCAAAAAUGUAUAUAAAUUGUUUUGGUGUAUUUUGUUUACACAGGCACACUUCAUGACAGUAAACAUCGGUAUCACAAUGGUGUGAUUGAUCUAUACCCUAGAAUAAGCUGUGACACUAUGAGACGUGAGAUAACACAACGAAAAAAUUACCGGAUGGAGACUACCUGAUUCUUCACCUAUGGCCUCAGCUUCAAAUGCAACAUGUAAGAAAUGCUAUAUGACUGUGUAUUGUGCAUUAUGAAUACAUCAAAUAUGUUGAUAACAAGGUCCAGCAACUGUCUGAGUUGGUGGAUAUUCUGUCAGAGACUGCGUGAACAACGUUAUUAACAGAAUGAUGUCAAAUUGUCUUAUGGCAAAGUUCAAUAUGAGGGGUGGUGGACAUCUGGAAAAGAAGUCUUUUAAAGGCACACCUUUGUAUUAUGUUAUUCAAGAUGCUGUGAAGAGGUGGAGCCCAAAUGCCACAGACUCGGAAAUAGAUGCAGCUAUGGCAGACCACCUCAAGCACGCUCCAGGAAGAGCUGGGGUGGUGGAUACAAAAAAGCCAAACAGCUGUGAUGUGUUAAAGAGAGAGUUCACCAAAAAAGGAAAAUUGUUAUAAUUUUCUUAUCCACAUGUUUCAAACCUGUAUACCUUUAUAUUUUCUGCUGAACACAAAGAUUGAAGAAUGUUUGUAACUUCACAACCAAUUAACUGUCAAUAUUUUUUUUACAAUUGUAGUAAUGGGUUGUGGGAUCUGCUUUGUUAAAAACAUUCUUUCACAUGUCUUUGUGUUCAGCAGAACAUAGAAGGGUAUACAGGUUUGAAACAUGAGAGGGAAUAAAUGACUAAAUAUUAAUUUUUGGGUGAACUAUCCCUUUAUAGAAAGUGUUUUGAAGUUGUUAUUAUAGUUAAAUGGUUAAAAAAAAUAAAAAGUGCUAAAUCAGAA